UCUUCUCAUCUCCUUUGGCUCACCAGUCUCCAUCGUUCCCUCUGUUAUCCCUGGACAACAGAGUCCCUGGAUUUGUCUCCAGUCAUUAAUGAGAUGUUGAUUCUCUUGCGGUUAUAUCACUUGAUUACGCGUGAAUUCGCGAGAUUCACUGAUACACUGCACUCUAUUGUUACGGCACACUUGUGUGCCGCGGUACAGCCGUUGGGAAUCACUGGAUUGGAGCACAGUUAUGGGGUGAAUCUGAUUGGCUCCUUGUGUUUUGGCUUGAUGUAAAUCCUGUCCGCUGGCGGGACUCGGCCUCUCUGGCUUUUCGUCUGAGAUAAACACUACUUCACCUAAGAGACUUGAGUAUCCAGUUCUUCGUUGACCUUCAGCAUUCAGUUGUUUGUCUUCACCUUUUCAGGCUAAAACCUGAGAAGCCAUCACCAUGUUGUUGUUUGUUGUAUUUCACAUUAUGCCGAUUUUUCAGCGUGUGGUCCUCAAUAUAUAGUAUAGAAGUCACUGCAUUUUCUGAUUUUUCCAGGUUUCCUGUGUCCAGCAUCUUCAAGAGAGACUAAGCUAACUUUUCAUAUUUUUUGCACAUUUAUAUUUAGGUUAGGUUAAGAGUAGAUUAGGUUUAUAGUAGAGUAUUUAGUUUGUAUAGUUUAGCUUUUUAUGCUGGUCUAGGGACAGUUAAGUUAGCAAAUUAAUUUAGUUCAGAUCACUAACAGUUGCAUAUUAGUGUUACAAUUGUGUUAUUUUGUGAGUUAUUGUUGUACAGGCUAUUGUAUAUUGCAGGACCAAGUGAGACAAGGAAGACCACUGCUUCAAAGAUGCCACUCAGAAAGUGCGUUGGACAAGUCUCGACCUUGCAGAUCCUGCCCCACUUAGCCCAACCACUUCCGACCAUGGGGUACCUCAAAGACCUCCGUCAACCAAGCCGGCUGUGGAUGAUGGAUAACGCACCCACAACUCCUUCUCC